AGUGAACGCUGGCGGUAGGCCUAACACAUGCAAGUCGAACGGCAGCACAGUAAGAGCUUGCUCUUACGGGUGGCGAGUGGCGGCCGGGUGAGGAAUACAUCGGAAUCUACUUUUUCGUGGGGGAUAACGUAGGGAAACUUACGCUAAUACCGCAUACGACCUACGGGUGAAAGCAGGGGAUCUUCGGACCUUGCGCGAUUGCAUGAGCCGAUGUCGGAUUAGCUGGUUGGCGGGGUAAAGGCCCACCAAGGCGACGAUCCGUAGCUGGUCUGAGAGGAUGAUCAGCCACACUGGAACUGAGACGCGGUCCAGACUCCUACGGGAGGCAGCAGUGGGGAAUAUUGGACAAUGGGCGCAAGCCUGAUCCAGCCAUACCGCGUGGGUGAAGGAGGCCUUCGGGUUGUAAAGCCCUUUUGUUGGGAAAGAAAAGCAGCAGGUUAAUACCCCGCUGUUCUGACGGUACCCAAAGAAUAAGCACCGGCUAACUUCGUG
rnacentral:rRNA from 1 species